AGAGUUUGAUCCUGGCUCAGAGCGAACGCUGGCGGCAGGCCUAACACAUGCAAGUCGAACGAACUCUUCGGAGUUAGUGGCGGACGGGUGAGUAACACGUGGGAACGUGCCUUUAGGUUCGGAAUAGCUCCUGGAAACGGGUGGUAAUGCCGAAUGUGCCCUUCGGGGGAAAGAUUUAUCGCCUUUAGAGCGGCCCGCGUCUGAUUAGCUAGUUGGUGGGGUAAUGGCCCACCAAGGCUACGAUCAGUAGCUGGUCUGAGAGGAUGACCAGCCACAUUGGGACUGAGACACGGCCCAAACUCCUACGGGAGGCAGCAGUGGGGAAUCUUGCGCAAUGGGCGAAAGCCUGACGCAGCCAUGCCGCGUGUAUGAUGAAGGUCUUAGGAUUGUAAAAUACUUUCACCGGUGAAGAUAAUGACUGUAGCCGGAGAAGAAGCCCCGGCUAACUUCGUGCCAGCAGCCGCGGUAAUACGAAGGGGGCUAGCGUUGCUCGGAAUUACUGGGCGUAAAGGGAGCGUAGGCGGACAUUUAAGUCAGAGGUGAAAUCCCGGAGCUUAACUUCGGAACUGCCUUUGAUACUGGGUGUCUUGAGUGUGAGAGAGGUAUGUGGAACUCCGAGUGUAGAGGUGAAAUUCGUAGAUAUUCGGCGGAACACCAGUGGCGAAGGCGACUCACUGGCCCGAUACUGACGCUGAGGCGCGAAAGCGUGGGGAGCAAACAGGAUUAGAUACCCCGGUAGUCCAA
rnacentral:rRNA from 1 species